GAAUAAGUUUGUAACCUAUGGAUAAAAGACGACGGUGAGAUGAAGGAUUAGUGAUUAGUUAUAUACUUAGGUUUUUUUUUUUUUUUUUUUUUUUUGUGUGUGCGCACCAAAGUCAUAUACUUUGUUAAAGCUAAAGAGUCUAGCUAGGGUCGAUUCCAAUUGCAUCGAUAAUGUGAACCAACCAACAACAUACAUUCGCAUUCGUUUGACACUUUUUUAAG
rnacentral:lncRNA from 1 species